AACCUUACCACCUUUUGACAUGCCUGGACCGCCACGGAGACGUGGCUUUCCCUUCGGGGACUAGGACACAGGUGCUGCAUGGCUGUCGUCAGCUCGUGUCGUGAGAUGUUGGGUUAAGUCCCGCAACGAGCGCAACCCUCGCCAUUAGUUGCCAUCAUUUAGUUGGGAACUCUAAUGGGACUGCCGGUGCUAAGCCGGAGGAAGGUGGGGAUGACGUCAAGUCCUCAUGGCCCUUACAGGGUGGGCUACACACGUGCUACAAUGGCAACUACAGAGGGUU
rnacentral:rRNA from 1 species